GGGGGCAAAAACAGCAAGGAGGGCCACUGACAGAUCUGCCCGAAUCAUCAUGAAGUUUGACACACAGUAAUAUUUUAUGCCACCGUGACAGCAGCGCAACAUCAUGCCAACACACCGGAGGGGGCGGAGCCUCUCCGAGGGGCUGACCCUGGAGGAAUCAGAAGCGGGUGGACUGGUCAUCUCCAACGUCACUAGCGACUCCUCAGCCAAUCAGGG